rnacentral:rRNA from 1 species
AGCGAACGCUGGCGGCAGGCCUAACACAUGCAAGUCGAACGAACUCUUCGGAGUUAGUGGCGGACGGGUGAGUAACACGUGGGAACGUGCCUUUAGGUUCGGAAUAACUCAGGGAAACUUGAGCUAAUACCGGAUGUGCCCUCCGGGGGAAAGAUUUAUCGCCUUUAGAGCGGCCCGCGUCUGAUUAGCUAGUUGGUGAGGUAAAGGCUCACCAAGGCGACGAUCAGUAGCUGGUCUGAGAGGAUGAUCAGCCACAUUGGGACUGAGACACGGCCCAAACUCCUACGGGAGGCAGCAGUGGGGAAUCUUGCGCAAUGGGCGAAAGCCUGACGCAGCCAUGCCGCGUGAAUGAUGAAGGUCUUAGGAUUGUAAAAUUCUUUCACCGGGGACGAUAAUGACGGUACCCGGAGAAGAAGCCCCGGCUAACUUCGUG